GUCGUUGUAGUAUAGUGGUAAGUAUUUCUGCAUGUCACGCUUUGACCCGGGUUCGAUCCCCGGCAACGGCG
rnacentral:tRNA from 1 species